rnacentral:RNase_P_RNA from 1 species
AAGAGUAGGUGUGGCGGUUGCGGGUCAGUUAAACCUGACCUGAGGAAAGUCCGGGCUCCCUAAAGACCAGACUUGCUGGGUAACGCCCAGUGCGGGUGACCGUGAGGAAAGUGCCACAGAAACAUACCGCCAAUGGAAUGGGGAUCGGGAGCGGGGGGCAGGGGUUCGGUGAGGAGCAAUCCACACAGUCCCAAUCUCCAACUCUUGGCUUCCAAUCACAGGUAAGGGUGCAAGGGUGCGGUAAGAGCGCACCAGCAGGGUCGAGAGGCCCUGGCUCGGUAAACCCCGGUUGGGAGCAAGGUCGAGGGGCUAUGGUUGGUCUUUUUCCAGCUCCGCUUUUGGCGUACCGCUAGAGGCGUUCGGUAACGAGCGUCCCAGAUAGAUAACUGCCUUCCCUGGGUCUGCUGCGGCAGGCCCCUGGGGAUAACAGAACCCGGCUUACGGCUUGCUCUUCCAU